rfam:Otolemur garnettii contig099852, whole genome shotgun sequence.
AGGGCCUGGCACACAGUAGGUACUCAGUUAUAAUGUAUUCAAUUAAAAUAUGUUGAAAACCCUCUGUUUGUUACGCACCCCCAACAGGAAUCUGGAGUCACAGUGACGAGGGGCACAAAACUUGUGGCCUCCCUACAAACAAAUUCCCCACAUGU